rnacentral:lncRNA from 1 species
UAAGGUCAGUGAUGCUGACCAUCAAGGAUUAUGAUGCAAAGGCCGUGUGGAAGCAGAGCUGAAGCUGGUUGAAAACUUUUUUUUCAUAUUAUAAUUGAUUCUAGUAACUGGAGUUGGAGAAGUUGUAGGUAGACGUGAAGUUGCCAAGAAUGAGGAAAGGAAGGGACUUAGGGACAAAUCCACAGAUCAGACUCAAAAUAAUCAUGACUUUGGCCCCAGAAACAUCUCUUCAUAAAUUCAUCAGACCAGCUGGUAAAUACAAGACACGUAGACAAGAAAACCCAUCCUCCAUCCCAAGCCGAGGUAUCUGGAUGAUUCUAGCACCUCAUACCUGCAGUAGUUGCUCAAUAAAUACCUAUAGAAUGACUGCCUAUUGGAUAUAAAUAGGAGCAAAUGAUUUCAGGUUACCACCAACGUGGUAAGAUUUUCAAAAUUAAAAGGUCAGUGGGGUCUACAGGGAAACAGAAAUUUCCUGAAGUCAAAGGUGUCUCUGUAUUUAUUGGGACAAUGCUGUCUGUCCUUAAGUUAUUUUCAUUCUUAAUUUUACAGAUUCUCAUGCUACUUCGGCACCAUAUUGUUGACAAUAUAUGAAGGAAAGGGUGAGACCGUGAUACGUCUGACUAUUGCAUGGCGGUCAACCUAAGAUUUGGAGUGAGGUAAAUUCCAGCUUCCUGUUGCCCGGGGUCUCCAAAAGCGUCGUCCUCCCCAGGCCAGCUCCAGGACAUGUGCACUGACAGGGUGUCAGCUACCCUGGAUUGGGAGCCCCUAGGAUAAUCAAAGCCCUCUGCAUCCAUGUCCACAGCCUAUGACAUUCUGUUCAAGAGUCAGAUUGACCAUGUGAACCAGCGGCUCUGAGUCGUGUGUGUCAAGAAAACAGGCUUAGGCAUUGGGUCACGUUGGGUUCAAACCCUGACCUUACCUAAAGAGCUGUGUAACUUUGGAAGCAUAUCUUAACCUCCCUAAGCCUCAAUUUCCUCAUCUGUAGAACAGGGAGAAAGAAUGUCUGUCUUGUAUUAUGUAUCGGUAGGAUGAUUUGACUGUAAUAAGCAGAAACCCCUACUUAAACCAGCUUAAACAAUAAGGAGAUUUAUUAUCUCAUAGAAAAGGCAGCCUGCCCCAGGGACACUAUAUCAGCACUCUGGUUGCAUUUCUCUGUGUCUAUUGAUCACCCCCCACCUCCUCCCCAUGUAGGCUUCAACCUCAGGCAAGUAACAAGAUUCCAGGAAUUAGACUAAGGUUCAACGUGGAAUAGAGAAAGAAGAGAAACUCCUUCUUCUCAUGGCUCUCUCUUAGGAGUGAGAAAACACUUCCCAGAACCUCUGGCACACUUCCCAAGUCUUUUUGGCCAAAAUUUGGUCAUAUGCACAUUCCUGAAAUAGAAACUGGGAAAGGAAUGGGAGGACCCUCAGACAAAUCGGGGCCACCCUAACCCUGAGCGUGAGUGUUGGAGAGCUUCCAGAUUUAGUGAACACAUCCACAUGUAGGACGAGUGGCACACCCCAAUUCCAUGGGAACAGAAGCACUGCGCCUGGGACCCUUCUGGACUUCGCUCUAUAUAUUGCUUCAUCUGCCUGUUCAUUUUUAUCCUGUUUCAUAUCC